CUUUUAAUUGAAGGCUUGUAUGAACGGUUGGAUGAAAGAAUAGCUGUCUNUUAAAUAAUUUAGAAUUUGACUUUUAAGUGAAAAGGCUUAAAUUUAAUAAGGGGACGAUAAGACCCUAUAAAACUUUAUUAAUAAGGUGUAUAAUCUUUGAGUUAUAUUAAAAUGUUGAUAAAUACUUUAUUUAUUUCGUUGGGGCGACGUUGAUAUAAUUUGUAACUGUCUGAAUGAAUAAUAUAAUAAUAAUUAUAUUUUGAUCCUUCUUUGUGGAUUAUAAGAGUAAGUUACUUUAGGGAUAACAGCGUA
rnacentral:rRNA from 1 species